rnacentral:miRNA from 1 species
GAUGACUGGAUUUGUAAAGCGC